AAUAUGGGCUUAAACAUUAAAAGGAAAUUUUUGAAGAACGGACACAAGCUGAAUGCAAUCAAAACAGAUUUUUACACAUGGAAACUUCACCAAUGAAAUUCAGUAUCUGCACCCCUGAAUGCUAACUAUCCAGUCGGUGACAGCUAUGCCAAUAAUCUGAACAAGGCACAACACUGGAAUUCUGAAAAGAAAACACGGAGCGAUGUUACACUGCCAGGACCAAACUCUAUCACUCCUUUAGUGUCUGGAAAGAGGCAUUCAGUAAGUUGAAGGAACCAAGUUUCUUUUAAAUAAAUAAA